CUAUGGCGUUUCAGUACGUUCGAGUGUUAAGUUGCUAUCGGUAAAUAUCUUUCAGUAUUCUCAAAGUCAAUUAAAUUUGUACUGUUAUUACUACAGAGAUGAUUGAAAGAGUAUCACAAUUGCUCAUUUCUGACAAUGUAUCACCGCUUAUGGAUAUUUGACCAUUUAUAAACAUAAACGGCAACUAUAUAAAUAGUCUAACAAUGGAAGUAGAUACGAAAAGACUUUAGGAAACUCGUUCGAAAAUAUAACUUUAUUAACAAUAUAACUACCUCGACUAAAUUGAAAUCUAAUACUAAAUAAUUUUGCAAGAAAACUAUUGGAAAGCAUUCACUGUGCCACCAGUCCUAGAAUUGAAAAAUGCUUCGAAUGCCACCAGUGUCCAAGUACAAAAAUAAAAAUCUACAGAUAUAGAAUUGAGUGAAUAGAAAAGAGAUGUAAAAAUUUCAUAUUCCACUCCCUGAAUCUUUUGUAUGGUUACUUUCGUCGCAUUGCUAUCCAUGAACAAAGAAAUAUUUAACAUAUUAAGAAGAUCUUUGGCACAAAAUUGAAACAGCUAUCAUCUAUAUUAUCGUCCCUUUCAUAUUUUCCUCAAACUUAAAAGAUUUGUUAGCGGAUGGAAACCACAACCUGAUAUGGUGCGAACAACGUAAACCCUCGACGAGGAAUGCGACGAAACCGAACACAACUGAAAAUGGUUUUCCAAGCAGUGAGGCGGCCGUCCGUUCCACACUCGCUUGUUGGUUCGCCGUUGAAGCAGCCACGACUUUGCUAAAUAAAAUCAUUUUCGCGGCCGCCGAUACUCUAGGGAAUAAUUACGAGUGGUGGCGGAUUACGCGCGUGCACCAGCCGGGCUGCCUGCUGGUACACGGUAUCGAUGAAAUACCGAUAAUCGAUUGCCCUAUACAAGGCAUAUAUCCGGUAGGUCGAUGGCUGAACACGCGCCUACUGUUCUAUACCCGGCAAUUUGUACCGGUGCUGGCGGCGGUGCACGCGGUUGCAUUAUAAUACCGCCGCGGCCCGCUUAUUAUUUACGAGCGGUGGCUGGCUGGCUCCAAGGGGUGGCAAUAUAUCGACACCCCGCGGAGUUUCCUCCUUUGGCUACUGGUUACCAUUCAUAAUGGAGUAUAAUGGCCCCCUUUCCGUCGUUCCGUAGCCGAGCCACAGGGUCUACAAUCCAGGAGUUUAAUCCGCAGUCAAAGUGCAACAACCCCCCAUCGCCGUGUACUAGCCAGCUUCUGUAUAUAUAUAUCUAAUUCUAGCUCUAUUUCGCUUUUACUUAUGUUCUAUAUUUAACCGUAGAGACUGUCGUGGGUGAAAUUUCAACCUCUCUCGAAUUUCUGUUGUGCUGUAAUAAUACCAUUGCAGUGUUAGUUAUAAUCUAGUAAAAUAAUCAUCUUUAUACUUAUUGUCUAAUAUUUAAAAAUGGUAAAAAGUUAAAGAGAUGUUGUUAUAAACCACUGCAAAGCAAUAAUUUUUCUAUUUUCAAUUCAGCAUCUUUAAUAUUUAGCAGUGAUGAAAGAUAUAGUGAAUACUGUUGAUCUCUAAAAUAAAAAUAGAAUAUACUGGGGUAGAAUUUCAUAACAUGAUAUUCUUUGAUUAUUAGUUCUAGGGUUUAAAUUCGUUUGUAUUUAUAUUUGUACUGUAAUCCUAUCAAGAGGGAAAAUUUCUUUUAUGAAUUGUUAAUAGUAAAAUCUUAUUCUUUCUGAUGCUUUUGUGAAGAAGACAUAAUACACUAAAAUUAAUCAUUCAUUUAGUUACCAAUAGGAUUUGCAAUUUUAAAUCUUAUCAGGGGAAUUGAAGAAAAAGUAGGCUUGCAUAAAUACUUGGAAAAAGAUGCUUUUGAAAGAGGAAAUUUUGGUGACAACCGCGUCGCAGUAGCAGGGAAGAUAUAGUGAAGACUAAAUACAGAAAAUGAUUCGAUGCUGGUGAUGAAGGGAUGUAGUUUUUAUUUGAAGCAGAAUAGUAAUUAGAAUAGAAUAGAGUAGUAAUAUAAUACGUAGAAAUAUAUCAGCUCCUUUAAAGGUACAACUCAUAUGAAAAUAUACAAAUUAAAAACAGUA
rnacentral:lncRNA from 1 species